rnacentral:rRNA from 1 species
UACAGAGACUGCAAGCGUAUUCGGAUUCACUGGGCGUAAAGGGUGCGCAGGCGGCCGUGUGUGUCAGGUGUGAAAGCCCGGAGCUUAACUCCGGAAUUGCGCCUGAAACUACAUGGCUAGAGCAUUGGAGAGGGAAGUGGAAUUCACGGUGUAGCAGUGAAAUGCGUGAGAUAUCGUGAGGAACACCGGUGGCGAAGGCGGCGACCUGGGUAGAUACGUGACGCUGAGGUGCGAAAGCGUGGGGAGCAACAGG